rnacentral:rRNA from 1 species
AGUGAACGCUGGCGGUAGGCCUAACACAUGCAAGUCGAACGGCAGCACAGUAAGAGCUUGCUCUUACGGGUGGCGAGUGGCGGACGGGUGAGGAAUACAUCGGAAUCUACUUUUUCGUGGGGGAUAACGUAGGGAAACUUACGCUAAUACCGCAUACGACCUACGGGUGAAAGCAGGGGAUCUUCGGACCUUGCGCGGAUGAAUGAGCGGAUGUCGGAUUAGCUAGUUGGCGGGGUAAAGGCCCACCAAGGCGACGAUCCGUAGCUGGUCUGAGAGGAUGAUCCGCCACACUGGAACUGAGACACGGUCCAGACUCCUACGGGAGGCAGCAGUGGGGAAUAUUGGACAAUGGGCGCAAGCCUGAUCCAGCCAUACCGCGUGGGUGAAGAAGGCCUUCGGGUUGUAAAGCCCUUUUGUUGGGAAAGAAAAGCAGCAGGUUAAUACCCCGCUGUUCUGACGGUACCCAAAGAAUAAGCACCGGCUAACUUCGUG